rnacentral:rRNA from 1 species
UACGGAGGGUGCAAGCGUUAAUCGGAAUUACUGGGCGUAAAGCGCACGCAGGCGGUUUGUUAAGCUAGAUGUGAAAGCCCCGGGCUCAACCUGGGAUGGUCAUUUAGAACUGGCAGACUAGAGUCUUGGAGAGGGGAGUGGAAUUCCAGGUGUAGCGGUGAAAUGCGUAGAUAUCUGGAGGAACAUCAGUGGCGAAGGCGACUCCCUGGCCAAAGACUGACGCUCAUGUGCGAAAGUGUGGGUAGCGAACAGG